GAAGAAAGUUAGUAUAAAAUGAAACAAGUAAAUACAAGAGUUGUCAGACGUGUCGGUUUCCUUAGAACGAGAUAAUAAAAUAUUCGAAGGUAAGCGAGUGAGUGAAGUCUAUUGGACAAUUUCUAAAGUCGUCACUAAUCGCUGAUUGGCCAAAGGCGUGUAGCAUUUCCAAACGGCAAAUACCAAUGAGAAAAGAAAGUUUGAUACGAUGAGUAAUGGUGCACGUUACGUGAAUCAAACUGAAUAAGCUUGUAUGGAAUAAAACUUUUGUUUGUAUUGUAAUGUGUAAACGGUAAUUUUGAUAAUACAAAAAAAUAUAGGAAUAAUAAUGAGUGAUAAAACGUUACUUGAUAUUGAUGAUACUAUACUGACGAAAAGUUUAUUGUUGUCCAAAAAUAAAGAUGAUUAUGAAAUGGAUGACAUAUUAAAGGAACAGUUUGAAAGAAAAUCUAAUAAAUGCAUUAUCAUUCAUCCUUUACCUGGGGUUUGCGUGAAAACAAAAACGGAUGCAGGCGAGAAAGUGUUCCUAAAUAUAUGUACGACGACUAAAAUACCUCAUCCGGAGGAUAUAUCGGAAGAGAAACUAAUGUCCCUUUUGGAUCAAGAAACACCCGAUCAUUCUAUACCAAUGAGUAUCGGUGAAGAGAGAUUAGAAUCCGAUAAAGGUGGUACCUUAUGCGUGACCCAUGACGUUGCAAUAAAUAAGGAUUAUUUCGACAAGUGUCAAACUAAACAAUGUUUCUGGUUAUUUACAAUAUCUGUCAUAAUGGAAGGCGUAUCGCAUAAAUUUGGUAGAUGUUUGGAUUCGAAAACAUGUAUUAUUCUUAAAAACCGAAAAGUCAUGGGUACGAUUCAACCGCAGCGUAUCGACGAUCGUGAAGCGCGUAAAGUAUUGCCGGCUUCUAAAAGGCCAUUGAUUCAAGAAAUAUCGAGCUCAUCAAAGACCGACUGUAAUCGGUCGGCCAGUUCGGCACAACAACAACUCCAAAGUAAUCGUGAGGAAUUUAUGACAUACGAUUACGUGAUAUUGAAAGAACCUUCGAAAGGAAUUGCAAGACGUUUAAUCGCUUUAUUUCAUAUACCUAAGGGGGUAGUAUCUGGUAAAGAUAUAAACGUGCUCGCCGACACUGAUCAUAUAAUUGUUACAACGAAUGAAAACAAUUUCGCAUAUGACGUUUAUAUACCUUAUACGAUAAAGUUGAACGAAACGGAGAGCUUCUUUGAUAAAGAUUUCAGAAAAGGGAAAAUUAAUAGAGCAAUGUAUGGGACGAAAAGAGAAGAGCGCACUAAGAUAAUACACAAGUAUGAAUGUUGAACUGGGGAAAAAGUACGAAAUCAAAAAUAAAGAUUAACCUUGAUGAAAAGGAUUUUCAUCUCUACUUCCGGCACACUGUUAAAUGCUAUUUAUGGUAUUCCACAUGCAUGCACACCAAUAACUGUUAUUAUCAUUCUCUCAACAGAGAUGAUAGUACAGAUUGAUUACUUCUCACUCUCCAUUAGCUCGUUGGGAUUGACUUUAAGGACGGCACAUAUUACGGUAUAACAAAGGGAUUUACAAAUAGCCUUAGUUCCAAUGACACUAGAGAAACCGAGUAUUGUCCUAAGGAUCAUACAUCCUGACAUACGAUAGGACGGCCAAAUAAUAUCGUACGGUGGUGGAAGUAGCGAAAGUGAAAGGGCGCCUGUCUUGUAAUUUAACCACGCCCCCGCAUGAACCCCGGCAGUUACAGAAACAACCAUAGUCGUGUCACCGCUGAAAAUACAUACAUUGCAUAUGAGGACAUUUUACAAUGAAAGGAAAGAUUUUCAUUCCCUUACCGAGUUGGUGUCCAUUUGUUGCUACAGGGAUAAUAUACCACAGCGGUGACGCUAAUUAAUAUUAAAAGCGUUAAUACCCAUAAAUUAGUAACAAUAUAAUAAUCUAAAGCAUCUACUGUCGGUAUCAAUGGAAUCAUUAGCAUAAUAGCUAAUAUUAUUCCUGCCGCAAUGUCCAAUACCGUAUGCAUUCCCAAAUAAAGUCGACUGGUGCAUACGAGCGUGCACCUAUAAAACGUGAAAUAUAUUAAAUGAGCCGGCCGAUUGAGGAAAGAGGAAGAGAAAAGGAUAAAUAAAUAAGUAAAUAAAUAAAUAAAUAAAUAAAUAAAUUGAAUUUAAUCGCAUUGUACUUACCAGAAGAAAGCUAUUGUAGAACCAAUUGGAAACGAAUAGAUGUAUCUAUUCAUGGUAAAUAUCAGUACGCUAAAAGGAAUUGAAAUUCCGAUCAUGGCGUGAGUCGACGGCAUCCCAUAUUCUUCUGACCAUUUAUUUUGCAAUCUGACGGCUGGCGGACAAGCCGGCCUUGGCCAACGAAUAACAUCUUUCAAUGCUUGUCCUAUAAGAUAAUAAUAAUAAUAAUAAUAAUAAUAAUACGAUUUCGAAAUCGAAUAUUGUGAGAAUAAUCUCUGUAAAAUAUAUGUUAAAUGUAUAACUUUACCAAUGCUCAUAACGAUGGCCCAUACUAAGACAACUCUACGGCCAACUGCGCCAUCAAUAUUCCAAAACCAAAAGGGUAUGAAUGCGGAAUAAAAAAUUUCAUCCCCUAAUUCUGUACCAAAUAAAAACAAGUAAUACCAAAAACGAUUCUUAAUGAUAAAUUCUUGAGAUUUUAAUUUCAUUAAGCAUCUAUUAGAAGAACAUUCAAGAUCAUUCAAGGAAGAUUCUUUGGAGAAUGACAUAUCCGCUUUAAUAUAUCCAUUUUGUUCCUUAUUAUCGGAUAACCUAUGAAAAUAAAAUUGUCAAAUUUAUAUCGAAAUUAAA